AUUGAACGCUGGCGGCAUGCUUUACACAUGCAAGUCGAACGGUAACAGGCCUUCGGGUGCUGACGAGUGGCGAACGGGUGAGUAAUGCAUCGGAACGUGCCCAGAGGUGGGGGAUAACGCAGCGAAAGCUGUGCUAAUACCGCAUGUGAUCUGAGGAUGAAAGCGGGGGACCAGGCAGCAAUGUUUGGCCUCGCGCCUUUGGAGCGGCCGAUGUCAGAUUAGGUAGUUGGUGGGGUAAAGGCCUACCAAGCCGACGAUCUGUAGCUGGUCUGAGAGGACGGACAGCCCACAUGGGGCUGGGACCCGGGCCAGGCCCCAACGGGGGGCAGGAGGGGGGGAUUUUGGAAAAGGGGGGGAAGCCUGAUCACGGAAAGCCGGGGGGGGGAAAAAGGCCUUCGGGGUGUAAACCCCUUUUGGAAGGAAAAAAAAGGCCCCGGCUAAACCCUGGGGCUGGUGGCGGGAACGUAAAAAAAAGCACCGGCUAAAUACG
rnacentral:rRNA from 1 species